AAGUCGUAACAAGGUUUCCGUAGGUGAACCUGCGGAAGGAUCAUUAGCGAAGCUCGGAAUGCGUGUUCGGUCUGAUGCUGCCCGGCAACGGGAUGUGCUCGUCUGGAUGCGUGUCCCUUCUCUAUUCCACCCCUUUGUGAACCAAGUGUGCGAGCCGAUGAGAGAUCGGAGGCUCGCAUGCAACCCUUAACAUACCCCAAUGAAGUAUCAGAAUGUACCUUGCGUUAACUCGCACAAAUACAACUUUCAACAACGGAUCUCUUGGCUCUC
rnacentral:misc_RNA from 1 species